GGGGUUGUACUGGUUUCGACGGGGGUUUUGAAAUUGUGGUAGCCAUUCGCAGACUAGGACUGCGUCAUCAACUUAGAACUUAAAAUUAAACGCAAACGAUAAUUACGAAUUAGCAGCUGCUUAAUUGCAGCUCUUGUCGGCCUUAGGCGUCCUACGGCUUAAGAUCCCGGCAUCAAACUAGUAGGGACCUUUAUCUCCAAAGCUUUGAGGUGAUAAAAGAUUUAUGAAGCUACCGAAACUGGAAGCCUGUCUGUCGGCGUCUAGUAGAGGGAACAGUGUGGAUAGGCCACACAUAAUAGACUGACUGUAAUGGGAGAGACUGCAAUGGAAGGGCUUUCGGACGCGGGUUCGACUCCCGCCAGCUCCAUUG
rnacentral:tmRNA from 1 species